rnacentral:rRNA from 1 species
CCUACGGGUGGCUGCAGUGGGGAAUAUUGGACAAUGGGGGCAACCCUGAUCCAGCCAUGCCGCGUGUGUGAAGAAGGCCCUCGGGUUGUAAAGCACUUUCAGUGAGGAAGAACGCCUGGUGGUUAAUACCCAUCAGGAAAGACAUCACUCACAGAAGAAGCACCGGCUAACUCCGUGCCAGCAGCCGCGGUAAUACGGAGGGUGCGAGCGUUAAUCGGAAUUACUGGGCGUAAAGCGCGCGUAGGUGGCUUGAUAAGCCGGUUGUGAAAGCCCCGGGCUCAACCUGGGAACGGCAUCCGGAACUGUCAAGCUAGAGUGCAGGAGAGGAAGGUAGAAUUCCCGGUGUAGCGGUGAAAUGCGUAGAGAUCGGGAGGAAUACCAGUGGCGAAGGCGGCCUUCUGGACUGACACUGACACUGAGGUGCGAAAGCGUGAGUAGCAAACAGGAUUAGAUACCCGAGUAGUC